GAGUUUGAUCAUGGCUCAGGACGAACGCUGGCGGCACGCCUAACACAUGCAAGUCGAACGGAGAUAUUUUGGUUUACUGAGAUAUCUUAGUGGCGGACGGGUGAGUAACACGUGAGCAACCUGCCUYUGAGAGAGGGAUAGCUUCUGGAAACGGAUGGUAAUACCUCAUAACAUAACGAAGCCGCAUGACUUUGUUAUCAAAGAUUUAUCACUCAGAGAUGGGCUCGCGUCUGAUUAGAUAGUUGGUGAGGUAACGGCUCACCAAGUCGACGAUCAGUAGCCGGACUGAGAGGUUGAACGGCCACAUUGGGACUGAGACACGGCCCAGACUCCUACGGGAGGCAGCAGUGGGGAAUAUUGCACAAUGGGGGAAACCCUGAUGCAGCGAUGCCGCGUGGAGGAAGAAGGUUUUCGGAUUGUAAACUCCUGUCUAAAGGACGAUAAUGACGGUACUAGAGA
rnacentral:rRNA from 1 species